GACGGAAAGACCCCGUGGAGCUUUACUGUAGCCUGAUAUUGAAAUUCGGCACAGCUUGUACAGGAUAGGUAGGAGCCUUUGAAACGUGAGCGCUAGCUUACGUGGAGGCGCUGGUGGGAUACUACCCUAGCUGUGUUGGCUUUCUAACCCGCACCACUUAUCGUGGUGGGAGACAGUGUCAGGCGGGCAGUUUGACUGGGGCGGUCGCCUCCUAAAAGGUAACGGAGGCGCUCAAAGGUUCCCUCAGAAUGGUUGGAAAUCAUUCAUAGAGUGUAAAGGCAUAAGGGAGCUUGACUGCGAGACCUACAAGUCGAGCAGGGUCGAAAGACGGACUUAGUGAUCCGGUGGUUCCGCAUGGAAGGGCCAUCGCUCAACGGAUAAAAGCUACCCCGGGGAUAA
rnacentral:rRNA from 1 species